UGGGAUGUGGCUCCGUGGUAGAGUGCUUGUCUAGCAUUCGAGAGGCCCUGGGUUCAAUCCCCAGCAUGGCAA
rfam:Ictidomys tridecemlineatus contig120960, whole genome shotgun sequence.